rnacentral:rRNA from 1 species
CUUGGUCAUUUAGAGGAAGUAAAAGUCGUAACAAGGUCUCCGUUGGUGAACCAGCGGAGGGAUCAUUACCGAGUUUACAACUCCCAAACCCCUGUGAACAUACCUAUACGUUGCCUCGGCGGAUCAGCCCGCGCCCCGUAAAACGGGACGGCCCGCCCGAGGACCCUAAACUCUGUUUUUAGUGGAACUUCUGAGUAAAACAAACAAAUAAAUCAAAACUUUCAACAACGGAUCUCUUGGUUCUGGCAUCGAUGAAGAACGCAGCAAAAUGCGAUAAGUAAUGUGAAUUGCAGAAUUCAGUGAAUCAUCGAAUCUUUGAACGCACAUUGCGCCCGCCAGUAUUCUGGCGGGCAUGCCUGUUCGAGCGUCAUUUCAACCCUCAAGCUCAGCUUGGUGUUGGGACUCGCGGUAACCCGCGUUCCCCAAAUCGAUUGGCGGUCACGUCAAGCUUCCAUAGCGUAGUAAUCAUACACCUCGUUACUGGUAAUCGUCGCGGCCACGCCGUUAAACCCCAACUUCUGAAUGUUGACCUCGGAUCAGGUAGGAAUACCCGCUGAACUUAAGCAUAU